rnacentral:rRNA from 1 species
GUGCCAGCAGCCGCGGUAAGACGAACCGGACAAACGUUAUUCGGAAUCAUUGGGCUUAAAGGGUGCGUAGGCUGUGCAGAAAGUUGGAUGUGAAAUCUCUCGGCUCAACCGAGAAACUGCGUCCAAAACUACUGUGCUUGAGGAAGAUAGAGGUGAGCGGAACUAAUGGUGGAGCGGUGAAAUGCGUUGAUAUCAUUAGGAACACCUGUGGCGAAAGCGGCUCACUGGGUCUUUUCUGACGCUGAGGCACGAAAGCUAGGGUAGCGAACGGGAUUAGAUACCCGUGUAGUCC